rnacentral:rRNA from 1 species
ACCCGCUGAACUUAAGCAUAUCAAUAAGCGGAGGAAAAGAAACCAACAGGGAUUGCCCUAGUAACGGCGAGCGAAGCGGCAACAGCUCAAAUUUGAAAUCUGGCUCUUUUAGAGUCCGAGUUGUAAUUUGCAGAGGGCGCUUUGGCUUUGGCAGCGGUCCAAGUUCCUUGGAACAGGACGUCACAGAGGGUGAGAAUCCCGUACGUGGUCGCUGGCUAUUGCCGUGUAAAGCCCCUUCGACAAGUCGAGUUGUUUGGGAAUGCAGCUCUAAAUGGGAGGUACAUUUCUUCUAAAGCUAAAUAUUGGCCAGAGACCGAUAGCGCACAAGUAGAGUGAUCGAAAGAUGAAAAGCACUUUGGAAAGAGAGUCAAACAGCACGUGAAAUUGUUGAAAGGGAAGCGCUUGCAGCCAGACUUGCUUACAGUUGCUCAUCCGGGCUUUUGCCCGGUGCACUCUUCUGUAGGCAGGCCAGCAUCAGUUUGGGCGGUAGGAUAAAGGUCUCUGUCACGUACCUCUCUUCGGGGAGGCCUUAUAGGGGAGACGACAUACUACCAGCCUGGACUGAGGUCCGCGCAUCUGCUAGGAUGCUGGCGUAAUGGCUGU